GGGGUUUUCUCUUUGUUUAAAUCCCUCCUCCCUCUGUCUCUACAAGGGAGCUGUUUUCUUCUUCCUUCUUUCUUGCUUAUUAAACUCUCCUCUCCUUAAAACCACUCCACGUAUGUCCAAGUCGUUUUAUCUAAUUCGGUGCAAGAUUAAGGACACUAGUGUUCUUCCAGUCAUCAUAGCCAUAUCAAUACUUGGUGUCAGAAGGAAGGACCAAAGGUGAUUCACCUUAAGGAGACUCACCAGGCCUUGGAACUACAGCAUGAGGUACCCACACUGGGGCUCUUUAGGGCCGCCGACCCUGACUUCCACGGGUCACUUCUUCUCCGGCUUGGAGAGUCUGUCUUAGAACUCCCAAUUUUGAUUUGUUUUCUGUUUUAUUUGGGAUUUGGUGAGGAAAGAUCUUUUCCUCCUUGUUUGAAUCUCUUGUUGAAGAGGACUCUUUUCCUCUGUUGACCUUGUCUAUGAAGUUUGAACCUAGAGGUUUGAAUGAGGAAAUUUUUUUCUUCAUUUGGAGAAGGCCAUUGUUUUUCUUGUUGUGCCUGGAACCUCAGCGAGGCAGAAUCAUUCACUCCCCUGGAAAGGGGGCUAAAGCCAGGGAGCCAAGUGGUCUCGCUCAGCAGGUCCCACUUUCCUGGAGCCCAGCGAGCAAACAACAACUGGCUUGAAAUUCUCACUGCCAGCGCAGCAGUCUGAAGUGGACGUGAGACAAUCAAGCUUGGUGGGUGGGAGGGGCAUCUGCCAUUACUGAGGCUUGAGUAGGCGAUUUUUCCCCUGACAGUGCUAAGGAGGCCAGGAAGUUCAAACUUGGCAGAAUUCACCACAGUGCAGCAAAGUAUCUGUGGCCAGUCUGCCUCUCUAGAUUCUUCUCACUGGGCAAGGCAUCUCUGAAAAAAAGGCAGCAGCCCCAGUCAGGGGCUUAUAGAUAAAACUCCCAUCUCCCUGGGUCAGAGAACCUGGGGGAAGGGGCAGCUGUGGGUGCAACUUGAGCAGACUUAAACAUUCCUGCCUGCCGGUUCUGAAGAGAGGAGCAGAUCUCCCAGCACAGUGUUCGAGCUCUGCUAAGGGACAAACUGCCUCCUCAAGUGGGUCCCUGACCCCCAUAUGCCUCCUGACUGGGAGACAGCUCUUAGCAGGGGUUGACAGACACCUCAUAGAGGAGAGCUCUGGCUGGCAUCAGGCCAGUGCCCCUCUGGGACAAAGCUUCCUGAAAAAGGAGCAGGUGGCAGUCUUUGCUCUUCUGCAGCCUACAUGGGUGAUAUCCAAGCAAACAGGGUCUGGAGUGGACCUCAACUACAGCAGGCCUGCAGAAGAGGAGCCUGACUGUUAGAAGAAAAACUAACAAACAGAAAGCAAUAACAUCAACAUCAACAAGAAGGACCCCCACAUGAAAACCCCAUCCAAAGGUCAUCAGCCUCAAAGAUCAAAGGUAGAUAAAUCCAUGAAGAUGAGAAAAAAAACAAUGCAAAAAUGCUGAAAAUUCCAAAAACCAGAAUGCCUCGUCUCCAAAUGAUCACAACUGGUCUCUAGCAAACCUAGAUGACGGAUUGAUAGGUGCAGCAAACCACCAUGGCAUAUGUAUACCUAUGUAACAAACCUGCACAUUCUACACAUUUAUCCCAGAACUUAAAAGUAAAAAUAUAAUAAAUAAGAUUAAAUUAAAUUUAAAAAGAUACUUCCAUAUGCAUGUUUAUAGCAGCACAAUUCACAAUUGCAAAAAUGUGGAACCAACCCAAGUGCCCAUCAAUCAACGAGUGGAUAAAGAACCUGUGGUAUUAUAUGUAUAUGAUGGAAUACCACUCACUCACAGAAGGGAAUGAAUUAACGGCAUUUGCAGUGACCUGGAUGAGAUUGGAGACAAUUAUUCUAAAUGAAGUAGCUCAGGAAUGGAAAACCAAGCAUCAUAUGUUCUCACGCAUUAGUAGGAGCUAAGCUAUGAGGAUGCAAAGGCAUAGGAAUGGCACAAUGGACUUUGGGGACUCAGGGGAAAAGGGUGGGAAGUGGGUAAGGGAUAAAAGACUACAAAUAGGAUGCAGUCUAUACUGCUCGGUGAUGAGUGCACCAAAAUCUCACCAAAUCACCACUAAAGAACUACCCAUGUAACCAAACACCACCUGUUCCCCAAUAACCUAUGGAAAUUAAAAAAAAAAAAAAAAAGUUUAAUUUCAUUUACUGCC
rnacentral:lncRNA from 1 species